rnacentral:rRNA from 1 species
CCUACGGGUGGCAGCAGUGAGGAAUAUUGGUCAAUGGACGGAAGUCUGAACCAGCGAUGCCGCGUGCAGGAAGACGGCUCUAUGAGCUGUAAACUGCUUUUGUACAAGGGUAAACCUGAAUACGUGUAUUCAGAUGAAAGUACUGUACGAAUACAGAUCGGCUAACUCCGUGCCAGCAGCCGCGGUAAUACGGAUGAACCAAGCGUUAUCCGGAUUUAUUGGGUUUAAAGGGUGCGUAGGCGGAUUGAUAAGUUUGAAGUGAAAUGUCCGAGCUUAACUCGGGAACUGCCUCUAAUACGGGUGAUCUAGAGAGUAGAUGGGGUAGGCGGAAUGUAUGGUGUAGCGGUGAAAUGCUUAGAGAUCA